AGGAGCUUGGUGUUGUCGCAGGAGAGUGAGGGGAAGAUGUGUUUCCUGAACAAGCUGCUGCUACUUGCUGUCCUGGGCUGGCUUUUCCAGAUUCCCACAGUCCCUGAGGACUUGUUCUUUCUGGAAGAGGGUCCCUCAUAUGCCUUUGAGGUGGACACAGUAGCCCCAGAGCAUGGCUUGGACAAUGCGCCUGUGGUGGACCAGCAGCUGCUCUACACCUGCUGCCCCUACAUCGGUG
rnacentral:lncRNA from 1 species